CACGGCUCUUAUCACCCCAACUUCCGUGGUUUUGAUUACUACUUUGGAAUCCCAUAUAGCCAUGAUAUGGGCUGUACUGAUACUCCAGGCUACAACCACCCUCCUUGUCCAGCGUGUCCACAGGGUGAUGGAUCAUCAAGGAACCUUCAAAGAGACUGUUACACUGACGUGGCCCUCCCUCUCUAUGAAAACCUCAACAUUGUGGAGCAGCCGGUGAACUUGAGCAGCCUUGCCCAGAAGUAUGCUGAGAAAGCAACCCAGUUCAUCCAGCACGCAAG
rnacentral:sRNA from 1 species